AGUGAACGCUGGCGGCAGGCCUAAUACAUGCAAGUCGAGCGGACGCACAGUAAGCUUUCUUCCUUACGGGUGGCGACUGGCGGACGGGUGAGGCAUACAUCACCUACCUCUAUUACGUGGGGGACUUCGUGGGACCACUUCCGAUACUACCGCAUACUUUCUACGGCAUAAAUCAAAAGUUCAUGACAGUCUUCGUGACACUUAUAGAUGAAUCCGUGUCGGAUUAGCUAGUUGGUAAGGUAACGGCCCACCAAGGCGACGAUCCGUAGCUGACCUGAGAGGAUGAUCAGCCACACUGGAACUGAGACACGGUCCAGACUCCUACGGGAGGCAGCAGUGGGGAAUAUUGGACAAUGGGCGCAAGCCUGAUCCAGCCAUACCGCGUGGGUGAAGAAGGCCUUCGGGUUGUAAAGCCCUUUUGUUGGGAAAGAAAAGCAGCAGGUUAAUACCCCGCUGUUCUGACGGUACCCAAAGAAUAAGCACCGGCUAACUUCGUG
rnacentral:rRNA from 1 species